AGCGAACGCCGGCGGCAGGCCUAACACAUGCAAGUCGAGCGCCCCGCAAGGGGAGCGGCAGACGGGAGAGUAACACGUGGGAACAUGCCCUUCAGUACGGAACAACUCCGGGAAACUGGAGCUAAUACCCUAUGUGCCCGAGAGGGGAAAGAUAUAUCGCCUUUGGAUAGGCCCGCGUUGGAAUAGCUAGUUGGUGGGGUAAAGGCCUACAAAGGCGACGAUCCAUAGCUGUUCUGUGAGGAAGCUCAGCCACACUGGGACUGAGACACGGCCCAGACUCCUACGGGAGGCAGCAGUAGGGAAUCUUGGACAAUGGGCGCAAGCCUGAUCCAGCCAUGCCGCGUGAGUGAUGAAGGCCUUAGGGUUGUAAAACUCUUUCGCAGGUUACGAUAAUGACGGUAACCUGAGAAGAAGCCCCGGCUAACUACGUGCCAGCCGCCGCCGUAA
rnacentral:rRNA from 1 species